CCUAGCGGCGGACGGGUGAGUAACGCGUGGGAACGUGCCUCUUGCUACGGAAUAGCCUCGGGAAACUGGGAGUAAUACCGUAUGUGCCCUGCGGGGGAAAGAUUUUAUCGGCAAGAGAUCGGCCCGCGUUGGAUUAGGUAGUUGGUGAGGUAACGGCUCACCAAGCCGACGAUCCAUAGCUGGUUUGAGAGGAUGAUCAGCCACACUGGGACUGAGACACGGCCCAGACUCCUACGGGAGGCAGCAGUGGGGAAUCUUAGACAAUGGGCGCAAGCCUGAUCUAGCCAUGCCGCGUGAUCGAUGAAGGCCUUAGGGUUGUAAAGAUCUUUCAGCUGGGAAGAUAAUGACUGUACCAGCAGAAGAAGCCCCGGCUAACUCCGUGCCAGCAGCCGCGGUAAUACGGAGGGGGCUAGCGUUGUUCGGAAUUACUGGGCGUAAAGCGCACGUAGGCGGACCAGAAAGUUGGAGGUGAAAUCCCAGGGCUCAACCUUGGAACUGCCUUCAAAA
rnacentral:rRNA from 1 species